rnacentral:rRNA from 1 species
CACGUAGGGUGCGAGCGUUGUCCGGAAUUAUUGGGCGUAAAGAGCUCGUAGGCGGUUUGUCGCGUCUGCCGUGAAAGUCCGGGGCUCAACUCCGGAUCUGCGGUGGGUACGGGCAGACUAGAGUGAUGUAGGGGGAGACUGGAAUUCCUGGUGUAGCGGUGAAAAUGCGCAGAUAUCAGGAGGAACACCGAUGGCGAAGGCAGGUCUCUGGGCAUUAACUGACGCUGAGGAGCGAAAGCAUGGGGAGCGAACAGG